GAUGAAGAACGUAGCGAAAUGCGAUAAGUAAUGUGAAUUGCAGAAUUCAGUGAAUCAUCGAAUCUUUGAACACACAUUGCGCCCUCUGGUAUUCCGGGGGGCAUGCCUGUUCGAGCGUCAUUAUAACCACUCAAGCUCUCGCUUGGUAUUGGGGUUCGCGGUUCCGCGGCCCCUAAAAUCAGUGGCGGUGCCUGUCGGCUCUACGCGUAGUAAUACUCCUCGCGUCUGGGUCCGGUAGGUCUACUUGCCAGCAACCCCCAAUUUUUACAGGUUGACCUCGGAUCAGGUAGGGAUACCCGCUGAACUUAAGCAUAUCAAUAAGCGGAGGA
rnacentral:misc_RNA from 1 species